rnacentral:rRNA from 1 species
AGUGUAUGUGGUGGAUGCCUUGGCGAUCACAGGCGAUGAAGGACGUGACAGCCUGCGAAAAGCUGUGGGGAGCUGGCAAAUAAGCUUUGAUCCACAGAUGUCCGAAUGAGGGAACUCACCUGCUUUGCAGGUAUCCCAUCCUGAAUAUAUAGGGAUGGGAGGCGAACGAAGCGAACUGAAACAUCUAAGUAGCUUCAGGAAAAGAAAUCAACCGAGAUUCCGAAAGUAGCGGCGAGCGAAAUCGGAUCAGCCCAGCACUCGAUAGCAGCCAACUUACGGGAACGGUCUGGAAAGUCCGGCCAUAGAGGGUGAUAGCCCCUUACUGGAAAAGGCAGCUGUGGUACUAAGUGUGCGAUAAGUAGAGCGGGACACGUGACAUCCUGCUCGAAGAUGGGGGGACCAUCCUCCAAGGCUAAAUACUCGUGAUCGACCGAUAGCGUACCAGUACUGUGAAGGAAAGGUUAAAAGAACCCCGGGAGGGGAGUGAAAUAGAUCCUGAAACCGCAUACAUACAAACAGUAGGAGCCUCGUUAAGGGGUGACUGCGUACCUUUUGCAUAAUGGGUCAGCGACUUACGUUUAAUGGCGAGCUUAACCGUAUAGGGGAGGCGCAGCGAAAGCGAGUUCGAACAGAGCGUUCAGUCGUUAGGCGUAGACCCGAAACCAGAUGAUCUAUCCAUGGCCAGGUUGAAGGUGUGGUAACACACACUGGAGGACCGAACCGACUAGUGUUGCAAAAUUAGCGGAUGAGCUGUGGAUAGGGGUGAAAGGCUAAACAAAUCUGGAGAUAGCUGGUUCUCCCCGAAAACUAUUGAGGUAGUGCCUCGUGUAUGACUCCAGGGGGUAGAGCACUGUUAUGGCUAGGGGGACAUGGCGUCUUACCAAACCAUGGCAAACUCCGAAUACUUGGAAGUUUGAGCACGGGAGACAGAGCACCGGGUGCUAACGUCCGGACUCAAGAGGGAAACAACCCAGACCGCCGGCUAAGGUCCCUAAUAUUGACUAAGUGGAAAACGAAGUGGAAAGGCUAAGACAGUCAGGAAGUUGGCUUAGAAGCAGCCAUCCUUCAAAGAAAGCGUAAUAGCUCACUGAUCGAGUCUUUCUGCGCGGAAGAUGUAACGGGGCUAAGUCAAUAACCGAAGCCGCGGAUUCACACUUUUGUGUGAGUGGUAGGGGAGCGUUCUGUAAGCCUGCGAAGGUGACUCGUAAGGGUUGCUGGAGGUAUCAGAAGUGCGAAUGCUGACAUGAGUAACGUUAAAGCGGGUGAAAAGCCCGCUCGCCGUAAGCCCAAGGUUUCCUGCUCUACGUUCAUCGGAGCAGGGUGAGUCGGCCCCUAAGGUGAGGCUGAGAAGCGUAACUGAUGGGAACAAGGUUAAUAUUCCUUGACCACCGCUGAAUGCGAAGGGGGGACGGAGUAUUGAAGAUCAUCCGGGUGUUGGAUAUCCCGGUUUGCGAGCGUAGGAGGCUGACAGGCAAAUCCGUCAGCGGAUCUCCGAGGCAAAGCAUCGAGCUCUCUUUUGAGCGAAGUGAUUGGAUGUGCUUCCAGGAAAAGCCUCUAAGCUCCAGUUCAGCGGGACCGUACCGCAAACCGACACUGGUGGGCGAGCUGAAUAUGCUCAGGCGCUUGAGAGAACUCAGGAGAAGGAACUCGGCAAAUUGACACCGUAACUUCGGGAUAAGGUGUGCCUUUGUAGCGUGGAGGGAGAAACACCCCGAGCGCGAAGAGGUCUCAGAUAAUCGGUGGCUGCGACUGUUUAUUAAAAACACAGCACUCUGCAAAGACGAAAGUCGACGUAUAGGGUGUGAUGCCUGCCCGGUGCUGGAAGAUUAAUUGAUGGGGUGCAAGCUCCUGAUCGAAGUCCCAGUAAACGGCGGCCGUAACUAUAACGGUCCUAAGGUAGCGAAAUUCCUUGUCGGGUAAGUUCCGACCUGCACGAAUGGCAUAACGAUGGCCACACUGUCUCCUCCUGAGACUCAGUGAAGUUGAAGUGUUUGUGAUGAUGCAAUCUCCCCGCGGCUAGACGGAAAGACCCCAUGAACCUUUACUGUAGCUUUGCAUUGGACUUUGAACCGAUCUGUGUAGGAUAGGCGGGAGCCUGUGAAACCACAACGCCAGUUGUGGCGGAGGCGUCCUUGAAAUACCGCCCUGAUUUGUUUGAGGUUCUAACCUGGGACAGUCAUCCUGUCCGGGGACCGUGCAUGGUAGGCAGUUUGACUGGGGCGGUCGCCUCCUAAAGGGUAACGGAGGCGCGCGAAGGUCCGCUCGGGACGGUCGGCAACCGUCCUCUUGAGUGCAAGAGCAUAAGCGGGCUUGACUGCGAGGCCUACAAGCCGAGCAGGUGCGAAAGCAGGCUCUAGUGAUCCGGCGGCCCCGCGUGGGUGGGCCGUCGCUCAACGGAUAAAAGGUACUCCGGGGAUAACAGGCUGAUCUUGCCCAAGAGUCCACAUCGACGGCAAGGUUUGGCACCUCGAUGUCGGCUCAUCGCAUCCUGGGGCUGGAGCAGGUCCCAAGGGUACGGCUGUUCGCCGUUUAAAGCGGUACGCGAGCUGGGUUCAGAACGUCGUGAGACAGUUCGGUCCCUAUCCUCCGCGGGCGCAGGAGAAUCGAGGGAGGCUGCCCCUAGUACGAGAGGACCGGGGUGGACGCACCUCUGGUGAACCGGUUGUCGACCAACGGCACGGCCGGGUAGCCACGUGCGGCGCGGAUAACCGCUGAAGGCAUCUAAGCGGGAAGCCGUUCCCGAGAUCAGUUCU